AGAGUUUGAUCCUGGCUCAGGAUGAACGCUGGCGGCGUGCCUAACACAUGCAAGUCGAGCGCGUCUGAUUUGAUGCUUGCAUUAAUGAAAGAUGAGCGGCGGACGGGUGAGUAACGCGUGGGUAACCUGCCCUAUACACAUGGAUAACAUACUGAAAAGUUUACUAAUACAUGAUAAUAUAUAUUUACGGCAUCGUAGAUAUAUCAAAGUGUUAGCGGUAUAGGAUGGACCCGCGUCUGAUUAGCUAGUUGGUGAGAUAACUGCCCACCAAGGCGACGAUCAGUAGCCGACCUGAGAGGGUGAUCGGCCACAUUGGAACUGAGACACGGUCCAAACUCCUACGGGAGGCAGCAGUGGGGAAUAUUGCACAAUGGGCGCAAGCCUGAUGCAGCAACGCCGCGUGAACGAUGAAGGUCUUCGGAUCGUAAAGUUCUGUUGCAGGGGAAGAUAAUGACGGUACCCUGUGAGGAAGCCCCGGCUAACUACGUGCCAGCAGCCGCGGUAAUACGUAGGGGGCUAGCGUUAUCCGGAUUUACUGGGCGUAAAGGGUGCGUAGGUGGUCUUUCAAGUCGGUGGUUAAAGGCUACGGCUCAACCGUAGUUAGCCUCCGAAACUGGAAGACUUGAGUGCAGGAGAGGAAAGUGGAAUUCCCAGUGUAGCGGUGAAAUGCGUAGAUAUUGGGAGGAACACCAGUAGCGAAGGCGGCUUUCUGGACUGCAACUGACACUGAGGCACGAAAGCGUGGGUAGCAAACAGGAUUAGAUACCCUGGUAGUCCACGCUGUAAACGAUGAGUACUAGGUGUCGGGGGUUACCCCCCUCGGUGCCGCAGCUAACGCAUUAAGUACUCCGCCUGGGGAGUACGCACGCAAGUGUGAAACUCAAAGGAAUUGACGGGGACCCGCACAAGUAGCGGAGCAUGUGGUUUAAUUCGAAGCAACGCGAAGAACCUUACCUAAGCUUGACAUCCCUUAGACCGGUGUUUAAUCACACCUUCCCUUCGGGGCUGAGGUGACAGGUGGUGCAUGGUUGUCGUCAGCUCGUGUCGUGAGAUGUUGGGUUAA
rnacentral:rRNA from 1 species